ACGGUAAAAAAAGCACAAAACAAUACGUCUCUCUUUCUCUCUCUUGAGUAGCUUCGGAAGCUCGAAGAAGGGUCGCUAUGAAAUGGUGUCGUAGAGUUUGAUUUUUGUACAUAAUUUUUUAAAAGUUCUGGUGGCAGAUGCCUCUCAGUUGAAUAUACAGACAGAGUUAAAGAGUUAGCUAAGAAGCAUGGACUGAAGCUUCACAUUAAUGGGGCCCGUAUUUUUAACGCAUUAGUUGUGAGACAGAGGAAGAAUUUUCAACCAGAUUAGGCAAUAAUUUGGAGCAGCUGUUCUGAAAGAGGGACUAAAGCCAAUUGGGACAAUGUUUGGAUGUGACAAGUACAGCAUUAAGCCAGACCUUGUAUCCCUGGCUAAGUCAUUUAUUGAACACAGAAGGAGAAUAAUUUUUUCCUAUAGUUUAAAAGUCAAUACUUGCCAAUAAAAAACUCUUGAAUCGGAGAAACAGAUUGACAAUACUCCCUUUGCCUAUAGUAAUGCAUUCUUGUGCAACAGCAGUAGCCAAGAAAGCUGAAGUAAUUCGUGAGCGGACUGGUUAUCAAGUAGGCCACUAUUGUGGAGAAAUAGGGCAGGAUUUCUGGGAUGCUCGAAGGUGGCUGCGAGAAUUUGACACCAAGCAUGUUUUAGUCAUGACAGCUCAAAUUCUUUUGAACAUUUUGAGGAAUAGCAUAAUAAAAAUGGAAGCAAUCAAUCUCUUGAUUCUGGAGUGCCUCCAUGCCAUGAAGAAACACCCAUAUUCACUGGUGAUGUCCGAGUUCUACCAUACAACACCCAAAGAGAACAAGCCAUCUGUAUUUGGAAUGACUGCUUCUCCUGUUAACUUGAAGGGUAGUUAUUAACUGAACUUGGGAUCCUGUGCUUUCUUACUAAUUUUUUAAAGCUAUGAUUUGUGUUGAAAUUAUAGGAUUUUAGGUAUAAGAGGGAGAAAGAGAGAAGAGAAUGAAACACUAAUUUGAUAUUAACUAAGAUGUAUUGCAAUGAAUUCAUGUGUUUGAUGUGUUCAUAUAGCCUACAAUACUAACCCUUUAUGUAAAUCAUAAUCCUUACUAAUUAAGGAAACAAAUCAGGAUAUGAUAAGGAAAUUUGGUAACUAAUUCUAAAAGAUGAUGAGGAAAUAGGGAAACUAAGAGAACAAUCUAAAGAUAUAACAAGAUAAUUGCCUAUAUUCUAACAAAUUGCUUGGAGUUUGAAACCCUUGUUCAACAUGCGAUACUUUCAUUGCAUUCUUUUCAAGUCAAUGUUGCUUAUGCUUAUGGGAUAAAGCUGCCAGUUUAUGUUAUCUAAUAUCUACACGAGCAGAUAAAGCAGAUGGAUGUUGAAGUUGAAGAAGCUGCAAAAUGUAGUUCAAGAAGAAGCAAAUGGAAGUUUAUGGGAGCUAGAGAUGUUGGAGCUAACGAAGAGCUACGCCAAGUAUAUGGUGUUUCUGAAAGAACAAUUUAUUGUGUUGAUUGUUUACAUGCACGGAAUUACUUUUGAGCUUGAUGAGGAGAUGGCUGCAGAUGAUGAAGACAGAGAAUGGUUGCAGAUGAUGAAGACAGAGAAUUGUUACAGGAAAUCAUAAACAAUUCUAAGUGAAGGAUAUCUCACCCUUGCUCAUGAUAUUUAAGUCAUGGAGCCCAAGUCCCCUAAGGAUAUAUACAAGGCAAUGACACUUCUAGGUGACUAUAUAGAUAAAGAAGACACUUCAAUCAGGAUUGGUGUAAUUAUGGGUCUGGGAAUUGCAUAUGCUGGUUCCCAGAAUGAGUUUGAUGUAGCUAGGGCUGGGACAUGUCUAAAGCGUUAUACUAAUCCAUCAUUCUUUAAAAUGGAACCAACUUCAUCUGUAACUCUUACAAUAGAAGUGAGACAAAAGAGAAUUUGGAAAGGUACAAAUUUCAAUUCUAUCAUUUAUUUACAUAGUUUGUUACUGGAAAAAUUGUUUAAACGCAUCAUUGUGAUUUCUUCAUGUUUUGUAUUAUUGAUUUGGAUCUUGUUAUAAAUUUGCAAAUCAUUUG